CACGGUGCCUAUCGGCCGCUAGAUGCCUCACGGCUGCCGCUUCCUUCGACCCCCCUCCUUCACCUGCCGUCACCGCCGACACCGCCGCCUCCACUCCUCCAUACCACGCUCCGACGCCAACGCCGAUGGCACCGAGGCGGGCGCCACCACCGACACCACCCUCCUGGGCCGUCUCACCCGGCUUCUCCUCCUCAACCGCUUUGCCGCCGCCGCGCGCCUCUUAUCGUCCUCGCCCCUCACCCCUGCUCUCCUCCACGCCGCCCUCCGCCGCGUCCGCCUCGACCCCGAUGCCGCCCUCCACCUCUUCCACCUCGCCUCGUUCCGCCCCUCCCUCGUCUCCCACGCCCAGCUGCUCCACAUCCUCGCCCGCGCCCGCCGUUUCCACGACGCCCGCGCCCUCCUCUCUUCCCUCCUCUCUGCGCGCCCCCUUGACGAACCUCUCUUUCCCCACCUCGCUCAAGUCUACAGAGACUUCUCCUUCUCCGCUAUCUCCUUCGACCUCCUCCUCCGCGCCCAUGCCGACGCUGGUCAGCUUUCCAACGCCCUCAACGUGUUCGACGGAAUGGGAAAGGUCGGUUGCCGCCCGUCCCUUCGGUCCUGUAAUCGCCUUCUCAAUAAGCUGGUGCAAGCUGGGGAUGCGGGCAUGGCUGUCACGGUGUAUGAACAGAUGCGGAUUGCUGGAAUAUCACCGGAUGAAUUCACAAUUGCUAUCAUGGUAAAUGCAUACUGCAGGGGCGGGAGGGUGGCACAGGCAGUGGAGUUCGUGGAGGAAAUGGGAAGGAUGGGUUUGGAAGUGAACCUGGUGGCAUAUCAUGCGUUGAUGGAUUGUUAUUGUGGGAUGGGACACACCGAGGAUGCGAGAAGGAUAUUGCAGUCGCUGCAGAGAAAGGGCUUGUCACCAAAUGUGGUUACGUAUACCCUUCUUGUGAAGGGUUACUGUAAGAAUGGGAGGAUGGAAGAAGCUGAGAAAGUGGUGAGGGAGAUGAAGGAAAGUGGGGAUAUUAUAGUUGACGAGGUGGCUUAUGGUAUGAUGAUCAAUGGCUAUUGCCAAAGGGGGAGAAUGGAGGAUGCAACUAGGGUAAGAAAUGAGAUGAGGGAGGCAGGGCUAGAUGUUAACUUAUUUGUCUAUAACACAAUGAUCAACGGAUAUUGCAAGCUGGGGAGAAUGGAAGAAGUACAAAUUGUUUUACAGGAAAUGGAGGAUACAGGAGUGAGGCUGGAUAAAUACAGUUACAAUACUCUAAUAGAUGGGUAUUGCAGAGCUGGUUACAUGAGCAAGGCAUUUGAAAUAUGUCGUAUGAUGGCAAGGAAUGGUCUCGCAGCAACUGCAUUGACAUAUAACACACUUCUGAAAGGUUUUUGCUACAUCCAUGCUAUUGAUGAUGCACUUAGAUUAUGGUUUUUGAUGCUGAAGAGGGGUGUGGCACCUAAUGAAAUUAGCUGUAGCACUUUGUUGGAUGGUUUGUUCAAGGCAGGUAAAACGGAACAGGCCUUGAAUUUUUGGAAGGAAACCUUAGCAAGGGGUUUAGCAACAAACGUAAUCACAUUUAACACUGUUAUUAAUGGCUUGUGCAAGGUUGGGAGGUUGGCUGAAGCUGAAGAGCUUCUGGACAGGAUGAAGGAAUUGAGAUGCCUUCCGGAGAGCCAAACUUACAGAACACUAUUUGAUGGUUAUUGUAAAAUAGGUAAGCUAGGUAGAGCUACUCACCUUAUGAAUGAGAUGGAGCAUUUAGGUUUCGCUCCUUCAGUUGAAAUGUUCAAUUCUUUCAUUACUGGACAUUUUGUAGCUAAGCAAUGGCACAAGGUGAAUGAUAUCUGUGGUGAUAUGAGUGCAAGGGGACUUUCUCCUAAUUUAGUCACUUAUGGAGCUCUGAUAACUGGAUGGUGCAAAAAAGGAGAUCUGCAUGAGGCCUGUAACUUGUAUUUUGAGAUGGUUAACAAAGGUAUGACUCCAAAUUUGUUCAUAUGCAGUGCAUUAAUGAGCUGUUUCUAUAGGGAGGGAAAGGUUGAUGAGGCAAAUUUGGUGCUGCAAAAGCUUGUAAAUAUUGACAUGAUUCCAGGUUGCAGUAUAAGCACAAUUGAGAUUGAUAAAAUAUCACAUGUCAUUGAUACUAUUGCUAAUGGAGAUCUUCAUUCUGCAAAUGUGAUGUGGAAUGUUAUUAUUUUUGGGCUAUGCAAAUCAGGAAGGAUUGCGGAUGCUAGAAGUUUGUUUCAGAGUCUACGAAACAAGAGAUUUCUUCCAGAUAAUUUCACUUAUUCUAGUCUCAUUCAUGGUUGUGCUGCUUCUGGGUCUAUUGAUGAAGCUUUUACUCUCAGGGAUGCAAUGUUGAGCGCUGGUCUCACUCCAAAUAUUAUAACAUACAAUUCUCUUAUCUAUGGCCUCUGCAAGUCUGGGAAGCUAUCAAGGGCAUUUACCCUUUUCAACAAGUUGCAGUCAAAGGGUAUAUCCCCGAAUGUUAUCACAUAUAAUACACUUAUAGAUGGACACUGCAAGGAAGGUAAAACAACAGAGGCCUUUAAAUUAAAACAAAAGAUGGUAGAGGAAGGUAUUCAGCCUACCGUAAUAACCUAUUCUAUACUGAUCCAUGGUCUAUGUAGUCAAGGGUAUAUGGACGAAGCAAUCAAGCUUCUGCACCAAAUGAUUGAGAACAAUAUAGAUCCAAAUUAUAUUACAUAUUGUGCACUGCUUCAUGGUUACAUUAGAUCUGGUAAUAUGAAUGAAAUUUCAAAGCUUUAUGAUGAUAUGCAUAUCCGUGGACUUGUCCCCACCAAUCGGAUUGGAAAUGAGAAAUGUUCAGAUCCUAUUGUUGUAAACAAAUGGAGCAGAGAAAGAGGUCAUAUGAAGACGUACAGUCGGUGCUAGCUCAUCUUUGAAUACACUUUUCAUACUUGUAGAUCCUAUUGUGUGGGAACAGCAGAACACAAAUCAUAAGGGUACUGCCGACCUGAAGAGGAAUUGUUCAUUUGAGGAAGAAGUUUUCCUGCAUCAGGAUAUGUGCCCCAGAUAGUCUGAAAAGAAAGGGAAAAAUUACUAAGUAUAGUGUAACCAGAACUUCUCAUGCCAUUUGAAUGUAAAGGGGGGUUAGCAUAUUGAAAGAAUGGAUUCAGAAGAUCCUUGAAUGUAAAGUGGGGUCAUCACAAAAGAGCAGCAGUUGCAUAAAAUGCCUGGUGCAAACAGCUCUUUGUAGAUUGAUGUUCUUAGUUUGUUCUGAGCAAAUUGGGUCCAGAAAAUUAUCUUCAACUACACUUCUGCCGAGCUGCUCAAAGCUACAAUGACAUUUUAUUUCAUGGGAAAUGCAGCAUUCAGCAAUUCCUUCUGGUGAUGAAGCAGACUGCCCUAUCCCAUGUCAAAACAGUUCCAUCUUCCUGAGUACCGGUGAGAAGCUUGAGCAUGAGCACACAAUAGCUGUAGAUGUUGCUCUUCUUGGUGACCACUCCAGAGAAGACGUUGGGUCUCGGGCCAAAUCGAGCACGACAGGACCUUGCCACGGAUCAAUCAGUCUUGGGCGGCGGAACGGUUGGCGGGAUCUCGCUGCGGUUGGGCUCAACACCGAAGUCGAGCUGUGUGAUGGGCAGCGUCGUCGAUGAGCUUGCCAAGAAACGGUGGCGGGACGGUCGGCGAGAUCUUGCCGCGGAUCCAUGUAUCGCACCGCGGUUGGGCUAAACGCCGAAGUCGAGUUGUGUGACGGGCAUCGUCGCCGACAAGCUUGCCAAGAAACCAAUCGAGACCUGACCAUGGUGGUAGUGAUGAGAGAUCAAUCGAGCUGUGAGAUGAUUGCUUCUUCUUCAUGUGCUUCCGCCUCAAGCAUCUCUGAGUCUCUCGAUUUGGAUUCCAAUGCUGGUGGCCGACGGAUAAGAAUAAGUAGAGAAGCUCGCGGAGGCCACGUUGCCGGUGGGCUUGGGUUCCGGUGCUGGUGGCCGACGAAGAAGAAGAAGCAGAGAAAAGCUUGCCGAGGCUGCGUCGCCGACAGGCUUGUACUCGAGCCCCAGUCAUGGCACGACACAAGGGUCAGGGCUCUCGGAGCGCCAGUCCCGGUCAGACGAGACCGCCGACGGAGAAGAAGUAGAGCAGAAGAAAAGAGAAGGGAGAAAGGAGAGCAUGACGGAAAACUUACGGUGAUGGCAUGGAUCUAAUUUAUAAAAUUGUAAUGGCACACAACCGAUAUCAUGAAUAGCAAUGAUAGUUUUCUAAUAUGUCAAAUUUGUAAUGGCAUGGAUCAAAUUAGGGGCCCAUUCAAAUUAACCCCUCUCUAUAAUGCCCUGACAUGACUCUCGGAUCUUCCAUGCUCUU